rnacentral:rRNA from 1 species
UACGGAGGGGGCGAGCGUUGUCCGAAGUUACUGGGCGUAAAGCGCGUGUAGGCGGGUUGUCAAGUCCGCUGUGAAAGCCCGGAGCUCAACUCCGGAGGGUCGGUGGAUACUGACAGUCUUGAAGGUGCUAGGGGGAGAUGGAAUUACCGGUGUAGCGGUGAGAUGCGUAGAGAUCGGUAGGAACACCAGUGGCGAAGGCGGUCUCCUGGGGCAUUCUUGACGCUGAGACGCGAAAGCUGGGGGAGCGAACGGG